rnacentral:pre_miRNA from 1 species
AAUAAGAUUAUUUUUUAGUUUUUUAUACAGUGUUUUGACUGAACAUCUUAUUUGAAAUUUUUUUGUGAUUAAUAUUUUUAUUCUUAUGAGAUGAUAAAACAUAAAUAAUACUUUAUGCGCGACUAUUUUUUUAAGUUUUUAUAUAAUUUUUUAAAUAAGAAGAAUGGUCAAACGUCGAACACGGGAAAAC